UUUCAAAUUACCAGGUUACUCAAUUAAAUGUUAUGUUUGUGACGAAAAGAAAUCUUGCAAAAGUCCCAAACUAAAAGAAUGCAAUCCCGAGUUGGCCAUCAAAACCCGAACUUAUAUUUUUGCCUUUCACAAGGAUGCUAGCUUCAAUGCCACUUCACCAUUCUAUGAAUGUUUUUGGGAAAAUAUCGAAACUCCCUUCACUGAUUACUAUUACAAAGGUUGCACCUUUGCCAAUAUUGAAGGCUGCAAAUUGCCUUUAGACAACACUUUUACAAAUAACAAGCAUAAACGAGAAUGUGAUCAAUGCAGUGACAAAGAUGGUUGCAAUCCAGCAGGUCGUGCUCAAAUUAAUUUAAUGACUGUAAUUGCAGCAAUUGUAAUGGGUUUUUUAGUAUGUUAUGUGUAGAUUAAGAUUUAUUUGUAAUUGAAAAUCGUAAGUGAAAUAAAUGAAACAGUGAAAUUUUGUUACAUAAAUGAUUUUCGCCA